UACAGUUGGAAAACGACUGACUAAUGCCCUAUAUGCCUUUUAAUACAUAAGUAUGCGAGGGAAACGCUUUAGUGCUAGAGGAUGGGUCUGUAUGGUAUCAGCUUGUUGGUGAGGUAAUGGCUCACCAAGGCUAUGACGCCUAACUGGUUUGAGAGGAUGAUCAGUCACACUGGAACUGAGACACGGUCCAGACUCCUACGGGAGGCAGCAGGUGGGGAAUAUUGCACAAUGGACGAAAGUCUGAUGCAGCAACGCCGCGUGGAGGAUGACACAUUUCGGUGCGUAAACUCCUUUUAUAUAGGAAGAUAAUGACGGUACUAUAUGAAUAAGCACCGGCUAACUCCGUG
rnacentral:rRNA from 1 species